GUGCCUAACACAUGCAAGUCGUACGAGAAAGUUGGCUUCGGCCGAUGAGUAAAGUGGCGCACGGGUGAGUAACGCGUGGAUAAUCUACCCCUCAGUUGGGAAUAACUCAUCGAAAGGUGGGCUAAUACCGAAUAAUACUGCAUGACUUCUGUUGGUGUAGUCAAAGAUGGCCCCUGCUUGCAAGCUAUCGCUGAAGGAUGAGUCCGCGUACCAUUAGCUAGUUGAUAGGGUAAUGGCCUACCAAGGCAACGAUGGUUAGCUGGUCUGAGAGGAUGAUCAGCCACACUGGAACUGAGACACGGUCCAGACUCCUACGGGAGGCAGCAGUGAGGAAUAUUGCGCAAUGGGGGCAACCCUGACGCAGCAACGCCGCGUGAGUGAGGAAGGUUUUCGGACCGUAAAGCUCUGUCGAGCGGGAAGAAAUGCAUAGUGGCUAAUAUCCAUUAUGCUUGACGGUACCGCUAAAGGAAGCACCGGCUA
rnacentral:rRNA from 1 species